GGGGGGCUGGCGCAACGGUAGCGCGUUAGGUAGGCGAGAUCCAGACUUGCAAUCAUCGUGUCCCACAUUGUUCCUAACAUCAGCCCUAGAUUCCAGCGAUGGAGUGUCCUAAAGGUUGCUGGUUCAAAUCCGGCGUCCCUCA